rnacentral:lncRNA from 1 species
CUGACUCGGAGGGUACUGUGGUCACUUUCUAGAGUGCUCAGCUAGACAUAAACCCUUCCUUGGGAACCCCUCCUGCCCCCUGCAGCUACAGCCACCACUGGAGGGGGCCUCUGUGGCCAUAUAUGCUUCCCCUCACUGAUCAGAUUACCGGACACCUGACCCAAGACGGGCAGCAAUCAGAUUCUCCUGGAAAAUCUGAAGAUGGGACCCACAAUUAGAGUUGGUCAGCUGUGGGAAGCUGAGCUGAAAAGUCACGUAAAAUUGAGGCCAAAGCUGGCACCUUGUCAGACAAAGGAAAGCACAUGCUGACGUUACAGGGGAACACGAACCAUGUGGAGCCAGGGAAGCCAACCUGCAGAGAAUAGGAUGGAGCAGAUACACAGAAGCAGAUCGAUGGCAAAGACCAUGUGGCUCCUGAGAGAAAGAGGGAAGAAGGGCCAGUCCCUGGGAGGUCUGUCCUUCCUGCCUUUGAGCCAACUUGGGUGGAUUUCUCCUUCUUACAACUGAAAGAGCCUUGAGCAGGACAGAGCCAACACAUGUGAUGUCCUAGCCUUGAUCAACAUACUCAGUUUUCUCAUAAGGAAAGCAACCAACUGGGCCCAAUUGGAAAGUGCUUUUUAAAAAAAAAAAACAACAUUUCAAACGAUCCUAUUUUUCUUUUCUGUCCUUUCCUAGUUGAUUACUUGGUAUUCAUCUGCAACAGCAAGCAACUUGAGACCUCCACACGCAGAGGUGUUUUCAUUUUAACGUAUUAAGCUUGCAGGCUAAGGUUCGUGGGCUUCCAGAUGAAUCUCUGCGUAGGUGGUUAACAGAAUGUGAUCUCAGAGCUGACUGACGUGGUGUAAAAAUGACUCCAUUGUUGGCUUUUUGUGGACAUGCUCCUAAUGAACUGAAUUCAAGGUCUCCAUUGCUAUACAUACCAGGCACUUUCCUCCCUUUCAGAGAUGGAAUUUACCUCUGUUCAUCCUACGAGAAUCUGUCAAGGCAACAGAACAGGCCACUAACAUGGCAAACGAGCCCGGACCGGCUUCUCACCUCUUGCCCCGACAGGAGCAAUCUGCAGAUUCCUAGGUGUGCAGAGCAGGGCGAGGCCCGAGUCUCACCCGGCUCCCUGGCCCAGCAUCUAGGAUGCAGCAGGGUGAAAGUCAAUAAAUGUCUGAUGAAAUGCAGUGUCCCCUGUUCUCCCACAUGUACUCCUCUAGCGCAAGGUGUUUCCUCAACAGCAGGACUUAAGAUAUUCUCUAGUCCUCACAUCCAGGGAAGGGGCCUUCGGUUAAUUUACAUCACGCUUCCUUUCGGGCUUGAUUUUCACAUAUACAUAAACAUGCAAAUAUUCAAAUCAUUAACAUACUCUCAUUGUAAAAACACAGACAUAAAGAGAAACUCCCCCUUUCCUUGCCUCACUAUUCUAGUCUCCUCCUCAGAGGCAGCACUGUUAAGAGUUUGGUGUGUUUUGACUUUUUCCUGUGUUUAUAUACAUAUAUGCUUGUGUAGAAAUACAUAUUUUGUUUUGUUUUUAUUAAUAUAAACGGGACCUUACUAUUAACCGUUUUGAAGCUUGCUUUCUACACUUAAGAACACUGAACUCUUUCCAUGUCAGUGUACCUUCAUCCUGCUCAUUCUUUUUAACUGUCGCAGACAUUCCCUGAUACAGAUGAGUCAUAGUUUAAACUUUACCUGUUGAUGAACAUUUUUUUUCUAGUUUUCAUCCUAAUUUUUUUUAAAGCCAGGUUUAUUGAGGUAUACUUUAUCUGCACUAAAAUUUACUUUUUAAAAUGUGCAGAUUAAGUUUUAACACAGUCAUGUGACCACCACCACAACCAGGAUUUCCACUAUGCCAGAAAGUUCCCUUGUGUUUCUUUUCGGUCAACCCUUCCAUGAACCCUCAGCCCCAGCAAACAUGGGUCUGUGUUUUUAUCCCUAUAGUUUUGCUGUUUCCGGAAUGUCAUAUAAAUGGAAGGAUACAGCACGUAGGCCUGAGUCUGGCCUGUUUCGCGUGGCACAAUACAUUAGAGAUCCUUGGUUGUCUUUAUCACUAGAUACUUUGUUUUCAUCGCUGAGAAGUAUUCCAAUGCAUGACUACACCAGUUUGUUUUAUCAAGUCACAAGUUGGUAGACAUUUGGGUGUUUUCCAGUUUUUGGCAAUUUAGAUUAAAGCUGCUGUGAACAUUUGUGUACACGGUUUUGUGUGCACAUAUUAUUCUCAUUUCCUCUGGGUAAAUACCUAGGAGUGGGAUUGCUGGGUUGUACAGUGGUAUGUUUAACUUCACAAAAAAAUGCCAAACUGGUUUUCAAUGUACCUGUCUAAUUUUGCAUUCCCAUGAGUGAUGUGUGAGCGUUUGGUUGCUCUGCAUGCUCAUCAGUGGUGCUGUCAGGUUUCCAAAAUGUGAGACAUUCUGGAAGCAAUCUAACCUCAUCCUGCUGUGGUUUCACUUGCAUUUCCCUAAUGACCAGUAACAUUGAGCAGCUUUUGAUGUGCUUCUUCGGCCAUCUAUACCUUCUUGGUGAGGCGCAUGUUUACAUUUAUUGCCCAUUUUUAAAUUGAGUUGUUUUGCUAUUACUGAAUUUUGAGAGAUCGUCAUACAGUCUAGAUACAAGUCCUUUAUAUGUGUUUUAUAAAUAUUUUCUUCUCUGUAGAAUUCUUAAAGCUCCCUUUCAACAUCAUUGAUGACAGAUUACUUAUUUCUGAAGUGCUAUCAGUGGUUUCAUGCUGUACUGGUGUCUCUUUGGAGACCCACAUUUGAACACGUGGCUGAGUGAAUGCUCACUCAGGUCUCAGCUGUGUCCUUGCGGUGGGGAGGAGGUCACUGGUGGUCUGGAGGGGAAUCAGGCAGUAGGCUAGCUUAAGGAAGGGACUCAUUUGAGAACUGAUUUGGCAGCUUACCAUUGAAUCAUACGUGACUUUUCCAAAGCCUGUAUUUUCUAUUUCCACUGAAUUAACAAAGAUUCCUUAACAGUGUAUCGAACACUUUUGACACAGCUCUAUUCAUUCCUUUCCUAUCCUACAUUCACUCCUCAUGGGAUGAAUACACUAGGCUGAGCCUGCUCUGGGAAACUCAGCUGCUCCAGAUCUCUUAUUUUAUUAUUUUAUUUUAUUUUGGCAAGGAAGAGUGACCUUGAGCUAACAUCUGUUGCCAAUCUUCCUCUUUUUUGCUUGAGGAAGAUUGUCCCUGAGCUGACAUCUGUGCCAGUCUUCCUCUAUUUUGUACGUGGGACACUGCCACAGCACGGCUUGAUGAGCGGUGUGAAGAUCCGCACCCAGGAUCCAAACCCAUGACCCUAGGCCACCAAAGCAGUGUGUGUGAACUUAACCACUAUGCCACUGGGCUGGCCUCUAUUUUAUGUUACUUUUUUUAAAGAUUGGCACCUGAGCUAACAACUGUUGCUAAUCUCUUUUUUUUCCUUUUCUCCCCAAAUCCCCCUAGUACAUAGUUACACAUUCUAACUGUGGGUCCUUCUAGUUGUGGCAUGUGGGACGCUGCCUCAGUAUGGCCUGAUGAGCGGUGCCAUGUCCAUGCCCAGGAUCCAAACCAGUGAAACCCUGGGCCACUGAAGUGGAGCACGUGAACUUACCCACUGGGUCACAGGGCCAGGCCCAUAUUUUUUUUAACUGAAAUAUAUUUGAUAUAUAAUACAGUGUGAAUUUAGGGUAUACAACAUGUUGAUUUGAUAUAUUUAUAUAUUGUGGUAUGAUAGCCAUUGUGGCAAUAGUUAGCACCUCUAUCACAUCACACAAUUAUUUCUUUGUCAUAGUUGGAAUUAAGACCUAGUCUCUUUGGAAGUUUGAUUAUAAUAUUGUUAUAUUUUAUAUAGUUUAUAUAGUUUUAUAUAGUGUUAUAUAGUUGCAAGUCUGUAUCCUUACACAACAUCUCUCUUAUCCCCCAACCUUCUAGCCCCUGGUAACCACCAUUUUACUCUGUUUUUACAAGUUUGACUUUUUCAGAUUCCACAUAUAAGUGAUAUCAUGGAGUAUUUGUCUUUCUCUGACUUAUUCCACUUAGUAUAAUGCCUUCAAGGUCUAUCCACGUUGUUGUAAAUGGCAGGAUUUUGUUCUUUCUCAUGGCUGAAUAAUAUUCCAUUCAUCCAUUGACAGGCACUUAGGUUCUUUCCACAUCUUGGCUAUCGUAAAUAAUGCUGCAAUAAACACAGGAGUGCAUGUAUAUCUUCAAUAUCCUGUUUUCAUUUCCUUUGGGUAUAUACCCAGAAGUGGAAUUGCUGGAUCAUAUGGUAGAUCUGUUUUCAAUUUUUUGAGGAAUCUCCAUAUUGUUCUCCAUAGUGGCUGAACCAAUUUAUAUUCCCAUCAAUAGUGUACAAGGGUUCCCUUUUCUCCACAUCUUUGCCAACACAUGUUAUCUCCUGAUCUCUUAAUGAAAGCCAGUCUAACAGGUGUGAGGUGAUAGCUCAUUGUGGUUGUCAUUUGCAUUUCCCUGAUGAAG